CAUUUGUGGGAGGCCAGGAAAGACCUUGCUCCUUGGGAAUCAGGCUCCACAGGCCUCUCAGGUCAACCAAGAAAAUGAAUGGACUCCAGCAGCAUCACAGAAUCAAAGCAACACCUAAGGAAUUCACUGUUUCUUCACAUACUUUGAACUGUGAAAACAAGAGUCAUCAUAAUAGCUGCAGUUUACUCAGUACCUACCAGGUACUGUCACCUAUACUGUCUCUAAAGCCCCUACAACCCUGAGCUAAGGAUGAUCAUAUCCCCAACUGCAGAUGAUGACACUGAAGCUCAACGGCUACUCAACUUGCCUGGAAUCCUACAGCAAGCCUCUCUGCAGCUCAGUGCCUAGGGGAAGAGGAGCCCAGUGACUGAGCUGGAGUCACACGCUGGAAGCUGCCUUCAGACCAGACCCUCCCUAAGGGUCCCUCUCUAGCCAGGCUGGCCAACAGCCUUGCUCCCCCGGCUGCCCCAUGGGCCUGGAGGGGUUCUGUGGGUGCACACCCGCUGCUGGCUACCCCUGCCGCCGGCACUCAUCUGAGCUGUCGAGCUGUGUAGGGAUUCCAUUCAGAGUGCUCCAGUAAGGGACUGGCCCCAUAGCUCCAGCAGCAGAUGGGCAAAGAGGCCUAAGAAUUCAGCAAAAGGGGAAGUACAUCCAGCCUUAAAUUCUCCAGGCUGUGCCAUCCCCUUUCAAAUGCAGACUGCCUUUGUUUGUUUUCUACUACUAAUAUAACAUGAGGACAGGCUCAUAAAAAAUAAUAAAAGGGCAAGAGAUGAGUAGGAGACAGGGUCCUCACAGAUCCCUUUGUUCCUGGCCUUAUCCCCAAACUGCUUGCCUCCAUGUGGCAGAGCUGAGCUGCAGGGUCUCUGGCAGGGUCCCACUGCCCUGGUCUCCCCAGUGCCUGCUCCUCAUCAACUUUCCCUCAUGACAUCCAGCCUCCACCUGACCUUCCUCUUUUGAUUCUAACCUUUAAUGGGUGCUGGCCCAUCACUUGUGUGUCCUAUGUUCUCUAUGCCCCUCCUCAGAUUUCUGAUCCCCCCCAUUACCUGUUUCACCGACUUAUGGCACUGCCACACUGCCAAGAAUAGCCAUCAUCACUGAGGUCUGCUUCCUAGUCUGGAGCUCUCACUUGCCCCACAACCGAGAUUGUUCGAGGUAGGAGCCUCUACCGUCCAUUCACAUACCCCAUACCCUACAUCUUUCCAGAAUCAACACAGCCAAUCUCCCCUUAGCAAGUAAAAAAUAUUCAUGUCCUUCCUUUGUAUGACCCCUUACUGGGAAUCCAGAGAUCAUGAUGCUUAGGUCUUGUAAGUGGUCUCCGUGGAUAGGGUGGGAAGAGGCCACAUUGGUCUUCUGAAGUCCUAACUCUCUUUGCUAAAAGAUACUCUUUUGAAAAUGGCUCUGCACGCUGCCCAUGCUCAAUCUGGGGUGUCCUGGCUGUGCUGGAGCACUGACUGCUGACCUCACAUUGCAGGCCCCAGUGUUUGCCACUGCAAUGAGCAGCCUCUCCUGCCUCCCCAGCUGCACACAGGCCCAGGUGGGGCUGGGCUGUCCCCAAGCAGGCCACGGGAAGGUGGAGGCAAGAAGAUCAUCGGGAAGCCAUGACAGUCAGACAAGCAGCAGCAGAUGGGGAUGUGCACUGGGUGGAGUGGACAAAUAGCACGAGGAAAAUCAGCUUUGGGGACAGAAAAAGCCAAGUGGGAAGUGUAAUAAAUACUAAAACCAGAAAAGCCUGAAGACAGUCCAUCUAGGGAGCAGCAGGAGGAUGGCUAACAUCACUGGAGUUUAGGUCGAAGGGGAGGACAGCAGGAGGGGUCGAGGUGGUCAGUAUUCCAGGGGCUAGGGACAAGAGAAAUGGCACAACAUAAGUCUCUCGGGAAGGGUCACUCACCUUCCAAGCUGUUGGACUCAUUGGCUGCCACAAGAAGAAUCUAUUUAAAACACACCAGGCAUUUUGCCUCAUUCUGUUUCCCUGCCCAGAAAAGGCUGGAGCCGAAGGCUGAGGGAGAGGGAAGGAUUCCAGCAUCAGGACCCUGCAUGGAUGACAUGGCUGAGACCAUUCAGGAUGGGGAAGAUCCCUGCUCCAUCCUGAAUGACCCACACUUACAUCCCCCACCCCCACCUAAGCUGCCAGGCCACUAAACUCCUCGCAUAUUGAACACAGUCCCAAAGGCAGCUUGUGGUACCAUUUCCACUGGGAAAUACUCAAUGGCUUCCUUCAUCCUGUUUUCAAGCUUGUCAGAAAGCAGAUGCUGCUCAAAUCUGACAGCUGCUCUUAAGGGCACGCUCAAAGGGCACUCCCUGACCAGUGGGAAUAUUCUUAAUGAUGACUGAGAGGCCUUGGGUGUUUAGACUAUGGCAAGACAAAGGAGCGAGCAUGAAAGGGCAUCAAGGGUAAAAUGGCCCUAGGGAAACCAUACGGGACUUGAAUUGGAAAACACCAACAGCCUCGCUCCUUUCUCUGGACUGUGUAUCUUUGGGAAGUUCUAAUUUGGAGAAGACCUGACUCCUUAUCCACCUGCCACAGAGAAAGUAUUAAUAAAAUAUGAGGCUAGGGUCUAUGAGAAGUGGCCCAGGAAAGCCAUCUAUGCAAAUUUUGUUUCCUUCCUACUUGAGAGGGUUGGGGAUGAGAGGUCCUUCCUUCCCUGGCUCAUAAGCCCAUGAGUUGUGUAAAACACUGUUCAAGAAGGCAGAAUAUAAGCCCUCUGUUGUGCAUGAUAUUCAUAUUCUUGAAAGAAUUAGUGUAUAAAUCAAAUUUUACCUGCCAGAGAAGCUGGCUUUUCAAAAUAAAUUUGAAGUCAAUCCUAUGUUUAAACAGAAGGAUGGCUUGUAAAGGUGAAUAACCAUCCUAGGUCACAAUUUGCAAAUUGGGAACUCUGAAUGUCUGACUUGGAUGGUGGGGCAGGGGGUUCUGUCUAGAGAUUAAUCUAUGGUUUGCUUUUAGGUUGCAACUAAGCAUUACUUUAAAACAAACAAAAGACUGAGUUUUUAAAGAACAUUUUUAAUGGAAAAUUUCAAAUAUAUAUAUAUAUAUAUAUAGAGAGAGAGGGGGCCCACUAUGAUAAACACACAGCUUCAGUGAUUCUCAACCCAUGGCCAAUCCUGUGAGAAACAUGAACUUUUGAACCAGCUGACAGAUAUAGAGGAUGAACUUCGUGGUACAGAACAAAAAGAAGUAGUCCUACUCAGGCUGCAGUAUCCAAAACGUUUCUGCAUAAAUGCCCUAAACUAGAGCCUAAAGUGUGAAACAAAGGGGUGGAGAAUAUUAUUGGUUCGCGACCAAAUAAGAAACCUGGGAAUUAAAACACAAAACAAAACCACACACACAUACAAUCUCUCUGAGGGAUGCAAAUUAAUAGUAACACUGGUUGCCUUCAAGGAGGGCAGAAAGACUGGAGCGAUUUUCAUUAUAUGUUUUUUAAAAAUUUUAUACUAUGUGCACAUUUUACCUAUUUUUAAAAAUUAACUUACUAAAAACAAACAUGAAGCUUUGCAAUAACCAAAUCCACUAGAUGUGACAAAAGGGAAAACUGUCUGGACUCAAUAUAUAAGAGGACUUAUAUUCUGCCUUACUGAACAGUGUUUUACACAACUCAUGGGCUUAUGAGCCAGGGAAGGACGGACCUCUCAUCCCCAACCCUCUCAAGUAGGAAGGAAACAAAAUUUGCAUGGAUGGCUUUCCUGGGCCACUUCUCCUACACCCUAGCCUUAUAUUCUAUUAAUACUUUCUCUGUGGCAGGUGGAUCUUCAUCACAUUUUGAUCUGGAUUUACUGUUUUAUAGUAAUUUUCUCAGCUAGAAGAAUGCACAACCUUCCAAUCCCAAAACGUACAUCAUUAGAAUAGGUGCUUCACAAAAUAUUAAAAACACCAGCCCCUGGUGGUUAUAUGGAUAUAUGCAUUUGUCAAAAUUCAUUGAGUUGUAUUCUUAGAUGUGUGCACUUUAUCAUAUGUUACUUAUACUGCACUUUAAUAAAGUAUUGCUAAAAACAAAACAAAAAAUCACAGUCCUUGUGGACAAAUAAGCCAAAAAAUCACCACUUAGAGGUUUGUUGGGUUGGUGGUUCAGAGAAAGCUGCUGUUAUGAGGAAACAUUAUGUGGACUUUUUGCAAAAACUUACUCUUUGGAAACCACCACUACAGCAUGUGCUUUUGGUUAAGCAUUCCAUGGCUGAAACGCAACUCUAUGCUGAAAUGCCGAGAGGAUGAGGCAAAAUCUUGGCCAAGGUCAAGUUCUGUUGAUGGUCUGAGAGGGGGAUGGCAGCCAAGUGCUCUGCACUUGUAUAACAUUUAAAAAAGAAAAACUAACCUAAGUCAUCUUCUGUUCCUUUUUGUAGCCAACUUUAGUCCUGCUCAUUGUGUCCAAGAACUCAGAGGCAGCCAUAUGUGCAACAGCUCAGGCUUACCAAACCUCCAGGGCCAAACAUACAUAUCGUGAUUAAAAAGAAACGAAGCCAGCCAACAGGGCUUUAGUUGAUUCCAUGGGAUA
rnacentral:lncRNA from 1 species